rnacentral:rRNA from 1 species
AUUGAACGCUGGCGGCAUGCUUUACACAUGCAAGUCGAACGGCAGCGCGGGGGCAACCCUGGCGGCGAGUGGCGAACGGGUGAGUAAUAUAUCGGAACGUACCCAGAAGUGGGGGAUAACGUAGCGAAAGUUACGCUAAUACCGCAUACGAUCUACGGAUGAAAGUGGGGACUUCGGGCCUCAUGCUUUUGGAGCGGCCGAUAUCUGAUUAGCUAGUUGUGAGGUAAAGGCUCACCAAGGCGACGAUCAGUAGCUGGUCUGAGAGGACGACCAGCCACACUGGAACUGAGACACGGUCCAGAC